GACGAACGCUGGCGGCGUGCUUAACACAUGCAAGUCGAACGGAAAGGCCCUGCUUUUGUGGGGUGCUCGAGUGGCGAACGGGUGAGUAACACGUGAGUAACCUGCCCUUGACUUUGGGAUAACUUCAGGAAACUGGGGCUAAUACCGGAUAGGAGCUCCUGCUGCAUGUUGGGGGUUGGAAAGUUUCGGCGGUUGGGGCUGGACUCGCGGCUUAUCAGCUUGUUGGUGGGGUAGUGGCUUACCAAGGCUUUGACGGGUAGCCGGCCUGAGAGGGUGACCGGCCACAUGGGGACUGAGGGAGGGCGCAGACUCGAACGGGAGGCAGCGGGGGGGAAUAUGGCACAAUGGGCGGAAGCCUGAGGCAGCAACGCCGCGUGCGGGAUGACGGCUUUCGGGGUGUAAACCGCUUUGGCCUGUGACGAAGCGUGAGUGACGGUAAUGGGUAAAGAAGCACCGGCUAACUACGUG
rnacentral:rRNA from 1 species